AUACGUAGGUGGCAAGCGUUGUCCGGAUUUAUUGGGCGUAAAGAGGGAGCAGGCGGCAGCAAGGGUCUGUGGUGAAAGCCUGAAGCUUAACUUCAGUAAGCCAUAGAAACCAGGCAGCUAGAGUGCAGGAGAGGAUCGUGGAAUUCCAUGUGUAGCGGUGAAAUGCGUAGAUAUAUGGAGGAACACCAGUGGCGAAGGCGACGAUCUGGCCUGCAACUGACGCUCAGUCCCGAAAGCGUGGGGAGCAAAUAGGAUUAGAUACCCUAGUAGUCCACGCCGUAAACGAUGAGUACUAAGUGUUGGAUGUCAAAGUUCAGUGCUGCAGUUAACGCAAUAAGUACUCCGCCUGAGUAGUACGUUCGCAAGAAUGAAACUCAAAUGAAUUGACGGGG
rnacentral:rRNA from 1 species